rnacentral:rRNA from 1 species
AGAGUUUGAUCAUGGCUCAGGAUAAACGCUGGCGGCGUGCCUAACACAUGCAAGUCGAACGCUCUGAGUAAUCAGAGAGUGGCGGACGGGUGAGUAACACGUGGGUCAUCUACCCCAAGGUGAGGAAUACCGGCGAGAAAUCGCCGACAAUACCGCAUACGUUCCGCAAGGAACAAAGUCCGCAAGGACGCCUUUGGAUGAGCCUGCGCUCGAUUAGUUAGUUGGUGGGGUAAAAGCUUACCAAGACUUCGAUCGAUAGCUGGUCUGAGAGGACGAUCAGCCACACUGGGAUUGAGAACGGCCCAGACUCCUACGGGGGGCAGCAGUGAGGAAUUUUCGUCAAUGGGGGCAACCCUGAACGAGCAACGCCGCGUGCAGGAAGAAGGUUUUCGGAUCGUAAACUGCUUUUCUCUGGGACGAGAAUGGACGGUACCAGAGGAAUCAGCCUCGGCUAACUACGUGCCAGCAGCCGCGGUAAUACGUAGGAGGCGAGCGUUGUCCGGAGUUACUGGGCGUAAAGCGCACGCAGGCGGUCAGAUCAGUCUGGAGUGACAGUCGUCGGCUUAACCGACGAAGUGUUCUGGAAACUGUCUGACUUGAGGGCUUCAGAGGGACACGGAAUUCCGGGUGGAGUGGUGAAAUGCGUAGAUAUCCGGAGGAACACCAAUGGCGAAGGCAGUGUCCUGGGAAGUACCUGACGCUCAGGUGCGAAAGCUAGGGGAGCGAACAGGAUUAGAUACCCCGGUAGUCC